rnacentral:tRNA from 1 species
GCGCCCGUAGCUCAGCUGGAUAGAGUGACUGACUACGAAUCAGUAGGUCGCAGGUUCGAAUCCUGUCGGGCGUACCA